AGCGAGCGCUGGCGGCAGGCCUAACACAUGCAAGUCGAGCGCCGUAGCAAUACGGAGCGGCAGACGGGAUAGUAACACGUGGGAACGUGCCCUUUGGUUCGGAAUAACUCAGGGAAACUUGAGCUAAUACCGGAUAAGCCCCUACGGGGAAAGAUUUAUUGCCAUUGGAGCGGCCCGCGUCGGAUGAGCUAGUUGGUGAGGUAAUGGCUCACCAAGGCGACGAUCCGUAGCUGGUCUGAGAGGAUGACCAGCAUCACUGGGACUGAGACACGGCCCAGACUCCGACGGGAGGCAGCAGUGGGAAAUAUUGGACAAUGGGCGCAAGCCUGAUCCAGCCAUGCCGCGUGGAUGAUGAAGGUCUUAGGAUUGUAAAAUUCUUUCACCGGGGACGAUAAUGACGGUACCCGGAGAAGAAGCCCCGGCUAACUUCGUGCCAGCAGCCGCCGUAA
rnacentral:rRNA from 1 species